GGGGCCGAUCGGUUUCGACGGUAGUUGUCCAGCGAGGGGAAGCGGGCCGAGGAUCCCAGGUCAUCUCGUCAACGCUCCUGGGAAACCAAUAAGUGCCGAAACCAAGCGCACUGACUUCGCUCUCGCCGCCUGAUAGCCGCGACAGCAGUCUGGAACCCCGGGUUCGCUCCUGACCCGGAUCGUUCCAUCAGCUAAGGAGCCACUGCUGCCCUCCCUCGUCAUCGGGGAGGGAUGAACACCUCAGAGUGACUGAGUCCGUCGACGAACGUGUCCGUGCGAGCGUCGGGACUGAGAAAACGCCUUCACGGACUGCGCCCGGAGAAGCCCUCGCUCCGCACUAUCGGACGCGGGUUCGAUUCCCGCCGGCUCCACGA
rnacentral:tmRNA from 1 species